CCUACGGGCGGCAGCAGUGAGGAAUAUUGGUCAAUGGGCGCUAGCCUGAACCAGCCAAGUAGCGUGAAGGAUGACUGCCCUAUGAGUUGUAAACUUCUUUUAUAUGGGAAUAAAGUGCAGUAUGUAUACUGCUUUGCAUGUACCUUAUGAAUAAGGAUCGGCUAACUCCGUGCCAGCAGCCGCGGUAAUACGGAGGAUCCGAGCGUUAUCCGGAUUUAUUGGGUUUAAGGGGAGCGUAGGCGGGUUGUUAAGUCAGUUGUGAAAGUUUGCGGCUCAACCGUAAAAUUGCAGUUGAUACUGGCAGCCUUGAGUACAGUAGAGGUAGGCGGAAUUCGUGGUGUAGCGGUGAAAUGCUUAGAUAUCACGAAGAACUCCGAUUGCGAAGGCAGCCUGCUGGACUGUAACUGACGCUGAUGCUCGAAAGUGUGGGUAUCAAACAGGAUUAGAUACCCUAGUAGUC
rnacentral:rRNA from 1 species